rnacentral:lncRNA from 1 species
UUUCUGAUUAUACAAACCCAUCUACCACCACACAUUCACUCACACACACACUGUAAUUUAUCUCUCUACCACCAUAACCAUCACCGCACCACCACCACCCCCACCACCGCACCACCAUCAUCCCUACCGCACCAUCAUCAGCACCACCACACCACCAUCAUCCUCACCAUCGCACGACCAUCGUCCCCUCAAUCCACCAUCAUCCCCACCAAAAUAGCUUUGCAGAUCCGGCGAAAAAUACACAGAUCCGGACCAAACUGUCCAGAUCCAACGGCAAGAGAUAGAGUUCCGAGAGUUACCGGGUACGCCUCCACCGCUGAUAAAAGCUUAAUCGAUCUUGCUGAAACCGCCUACAGCAGCCACUCCAUUGUUUCUGAAGAGCUGUUGUUGCUUAAUUGUAGAAGAAAACAGAGUGUGCGUGUGGUUGUUUGUGUUGAGAGAAUUUUAUAGAGUCUUGCCUUUAAAAUGGAAAUGAAAGAGCAGACUUUUGUGUUUGAGAAUUAUAUUUGAGUGGGCUAAUGAAAGCGGUAAGGGUGGAUGGUGGAGGUGAGAUGGUGGUGGGUGGUGUGGUGUUGAUGGUGGAGGUCAGACGGUGAUGGAGGGUUUUCAAUAGCGGUGGUAAGACAGUGGUGGGUGGUGUCGGUGUCGGUGGUGGUGGUGUUGAUGGUUGUGGGGGAUGCAGGUGAUGAACAUUCAGAGAUAUAUAAGAAAGAUGUAAUAAUAUUUUUUUUUAUUAUAAGGGUAAAGAAGAAGACACAGGGGCAUUUUAGUCUUUUAAUAGAAAACUAACAGAAAAUAUGGAUGAUGUUAGAAAUUUGGACUCAAAUGGUUAAGAAAAAUGCUUAUAGGGACUCAGGUCGUUAAACUUUUUGCUUU